CCUACGGGAGGCAGCAGUGAGGAAUAUUGGUCAAUGGACGAGAGUCUGAACCAGCCAAGUAGCGUGAAGGAUGACUGCCCUAUGGGUUGUAAACUUCUUUUAUAUGGGAAUAAAAUGUUCCACGUGUGGGAUUUUGUAUGUACCAUAUGAAUAAGGAUCGGCUAACUCCGUGCCAGCAGCCGCGGUAAUACGGAGGAUCCGAGCGUUAUCCGGAUUUAUUGGGUUUAAAGGGAGCGUAGGUGGAUUGUUAAGUCAGUUGUGAAAGUUUGCGGCUCAACCGUAAAAUUGUAGUUGAAACUGGCAGUCUGGAGUACAGUAGAGGUGGGCGGAAUUCGUGGUGUAGCGGUGAAAUGCUUAGAUAUCACGAAGAACUCCGAGUGCGAAGGCAGCUCACUGGACUGCAACUGACACUGAGGCUCGAAAGUGUGGGUAUCAAACAGGAUUAGAUACCCCAGUAGUC
rnacentral:rRNA from 1 species